rnacentral:rRNA from 1 species
ACCUUCGGGUGGGAGUGGCAGACGGGUGAGUAACACGUGGGAACGUACCCUUUGGUUCGGGACAACUCUGGGAAACUGGAGCUAAUACCGGAUACGCCCUUUUGGGGAAAGGUUUACUGCCGAAGGAUCGGCCCGCGUCUGAUUAGCUAGUUGGUGGGGUAACGGCCUACCAAGGCGACGAUCAGUAGCUGGUCUGAGAGGAUGAUCAGCCACACUGGGACUGAGACACGGCCCAGACUCCUACGGGAGGCAGCAGUGGGGAAUAUUGGACAAUGGGCGCAAGCCUGAUCCAGCCAUGCCGCGUGAGUGAUGAAGGCCUUAGGGUUGUAAAGCUCUUUUAUCCGGGACGAUAAUGACGGUACCGGAGGAAUAGGCCCCGGCUAACUUCGUGCCAGCAGCCGCGGUAAUACGAAGGGGGCUAGCGUUGCUCGGAAUCACUGGGCGUAAAGGGCGCGUAGGCGGCGUUUUAAGUCGGGGGUGAAAGCCUGUGGCUCAACCACAUAAUGGCCUUCGAUACUGGGACGCUUGAGUCUGGUAGAGGUUGGUGGAACUGCGAGUGUAGAGGUGAAAUUCGUAGAUAUUCGCAAGAACACCGGUGGCGAAGGCGGCCAACUGGACCGGCACUGACGCUGAGGCGCGAAAGCGUGGGGAGCGAACAGGAUUAGAUACCCUGGUAGUCCACGCUGUAAACGAUGAAUGCUAGCUGUUGGGAUGCAUGCAUCUCAG